UUUGGUCUUCAACUGGUGCAAUUUACAUUGGCUAGUUUUCUGCAUGCGUUUGAAAUCUCAAACCCGUCGAGUGCACCAAUUGAUAUGACAGAGAGUUUUGGAAUAACCAACGUUAAGGCAACUCCACUCAAUGUUCUCAUCAAACCUCGUUUAUCUUCUGAACUUUAUAAAUAAAAGAAGAAAAUACAGAAUAUUAUGUGUACGAUAUGAAUAAGAGAUUUUCGUUGUUAUUAGUUAUGUAUAAUUAUGUGUCCAUCUUUGUAAUCGUAAAAUCAAUAAAUCAACUGCCAAUGUAAGAUACAAAACCUAGCAAUAAUGGGUGUUUGAGAAUGGGUAUAUUUAGCAAUAAAAAAGUACCCCAAAAAAGCCUCUAUUUACAUUUUCAAUUGGGCUAUCUUUUGGGUCUGUUGCCUCCGGAUUUUUUGAUUUUCAAUUUGUUUGUAAAGAACCCACCCAUUUGCCAGCAUAAACAGGACAAAUUAAAAUAGUCUGAAGUGCAAAAUUUGCAUAGCAAUGACAUGUUUACUGCUUAAAUCACUUUGCAUAUCAGUAAUGUGAUAUUUCUAGCAUUAUUUGUAGGGCAGAAAAGAAAUCCAAGUAAACCGAAUUCGAUCCGAAAAAUUUAGGCCCAACUUGAGAAAAGCCAAACCUGAAAAUUCCAAAUUAUUUGUUAUCGAAACCAGUGUUCUAAAAAUCGGCCUAGGCGGCCGCCUAGGCACUGGGCGGAGGUGUGCCGAGGCGAUUAGGUCCGAAUCGUUAAGAAAAAUCGGGGAGCUGUUAGGCGCCCGCCUAGGCGUUCUUAGGCGGCCUGGGCGGUCUAGGCGGCUAUCUAGGCGGAGUGAAACGAUUUCCUGGGAAGAAAUUCCAAACAGAAAUCGAAAAUCACAAACUCAAAUUUAAACUUGAAAUUAACAUGCAGAGCAUGGGUUAAGCUACCUGAGUUUCUAACGGGACUAACUCGAGCUCAUGGGACCCCAAGUUCGACGGGUCCCUCGCCGGAGCUCCACGCCAGAAGCUCAAUUUUCAAAGGUUGUAGUUCGAUUCCAUUAGAGCAACUCUCACCGAGAGAACCCCUGCUUGGAUUCUCCUACUUUCCAUUAAAUCAAAACAGGAAUGGCACCAGUCAAUGAGGGAGAAAGGAAACGAGGGAAAGGAGGGAGAGGAGAAGAAGAGAACCGGUCAAUCCAGUUUUUCCACCCGACCCGCCAACUUGACCCACUCAUAUCUCUUCCAUACGAACUCCGUUUUGGGUGAUCUUGGUGUCCAUGGAAAGCCCUUGACGAGCCCUACAUCUCUGUAGUGUUAGAUUUCCCAAUUUGUUUCCCAUUUUUCUAGUUCGAAGCCACAAAGCCCAUGGCUUUUUCGAUGGAUUUAAUCUUUUUUCGGUGGCUCCGGCAAGCUUCACCAUCGAUGACCACCACCAAAAGACUCCUCUCAACCCUAGGAGCAACGCCCAAGCCUUUGAUGAGGUGACGAAGUUCGUUUUGGUGACGAAUCGACAACUACCCAAAUAGGGUUUCUGGCGGGUUCGAGUCAAUUUGGAGCAUUUUCCAGCCAAAUUGGACUUGACCACAGGUAAAAGUUUGUUUUACUCUUUGAGAUCUUCAUUUAUAUAAAAUUUGAGAAUUUUUGGAAAUAGUUGAAAUUUUCCGGCGAGUCUGGAUGGCUGACCGCCACCCAUGGCAGUGAGUGGCCAGAGGGUCGUUGAUGCUAAUUUUAGGCUAAAUUAGAUACCUUGAUUUCAGUUUUGAUAUUCGUAUGAUGUAGGUUGAUCGUUUGAACCUAAAUUCACUACGAUACCUUACUUGAUCAAAAUAAUGAAUCGACGAUCCGACCGUUAGAUUGUCACUAAACUUUGAGACCUUAUCGUAUGUAAUAUUUCAGGACCUUAGGAUUUUAAAGAUCGGGAAUCCAACGUACGAAUCUUCCCGAAUUGGAUUUUCAAGUUUAUAAAAUAAAACGUUGACUGCCACGUGAUUUCAUGAUUGGCGGAGAUCCGACCGUUGGAUCGGAAUGAAAUUUUAGUAUGUUGUUCUAGAAGCGUAAGGUGAACUACGAAUGGCUUGAUCCCUUCGUUUAGUGUAUGUUGGCAGUCUAACUAGGAUGUUAGAUGCAGCCAUAAAUUAAACAAAAUGAUUAUUUUUUUUAGUGUAGUUAGUUAGAAUUAUAAUUAACCAUUAUUUUAUUGUGGCCUACCUGUGUGUUUGGCUUCCGAAUUAGAAAUUUCGGGUCGUUACAAUGAGGGUACAAUUCGGAAUGGGGAUAUGCAGGUAUAUAUUGAUUUCAUAUCUGUUGUAUUGGUUGAAGCUUUAUUAACGGUACUAGAGUUGUUAAAUUUGUCCACCAUAUAUAUUCAAUAAAUUAUGUCCCAAUGUUGUUGUUGCUGUUACUCAAUAAUGGGGUUUCUUAAGGUAGACUGUUAUCAAGUUCGAAUUUUCUAAUUUUCUUUCUACAAAUUAUUUUGUGUUUUAGGAACUGUAGUUGUAUAAUUUUAAGUGACUGAAAAUUGGAUUUGGUGAUUCUCUGUUUUUUUUUCUUUUAUUAUUUUUAUUAAUUGCCAUAUACAACUUUUGUGUAGGUUUAUGUUGCUGUAAUUUUGCAUUGCCUAUUGAAUAACACAUUAUAAUCUUCCAAUAAAUGGAGUCUUUGUCACUUAUACAUCAUAUAUUGCAAUCAAAUAAGGUGAAUUCUAAAAUAAUGGAGUCUUAGGCUCUUAAUGCAGAUAACAUUGUUUGUUCAAAAUAAGUACGAAGGUGAAUUCCAAAAUUAAAAGGAAACCCACAAUUUCUUACAAAAUUAUAAUAAACGCAUCUCUGUUAAUAGGUGUUGACGCUGUAUCACAAAAAGUCUUAUUGCAGUAAGCAAAUCAUUUGUUAUAUUAUUUUAUUAUACUUUAUGUUCUUGGUACAUAAAAGUUGAGAGAGGGAGAGAUGAGGCACUCUUACCUAGGCUAAGAGCAACUUCACCACCGUUGCUUAUUACCUUGGGGAAAUACCCAACUACUCCACUUCCUUAAAACACUCCACCCUACUCGAGCAAUUGGGCUCAAGGCGAGCUCGAUGGAUUAGUCAGACAAUAAUCAUUUGGCCCAGUGUCCUGUUUAUAUGAUGCAAGGCUGGCAUCAUUCACAAUUUAAUUUAGGAAAUUGUUAUUGGCACUCCAAAUUUCUCAUUUUACACUCUAAAUUUUUUAUAUUUAGAAAGAAAAAUACAUUUGUGAUGAGUGUAGAAUGAGAUUUUUGUAGUGUCAAUAACACUUCCCUUUAAUUUAUUAAAAAUCAUUAUAAAAUAUUAAAAAAACUAAUUACAAAUAUAAAAAAUUAGAAUUUUUUCUAUAAAUACCUAUCCACGUUCUUUCACUUUACACUACAUUUCAACAUUUUCAAAUACAUUCACCAGUUUUUUAUUAUUAUUAUCCUAAAUUAAAAAUAAUAUUAUCUUUCAUUAUUUUAUAAAACAAAAAAUACUAAUAUUUUAAUACGAAUUGCCUAGGCUAUUCAGUUUAGGGGUGGAGAUGCACUUAGGCAAUUAUUUUCACUGCCGACAGUUACUAUUCAUUUAAGGGGAUUGAGUUGCCUGUUGCCCAAAAGGGGCCUUACUACACUGGAACUACUCUAAGGUAUACCACAAGCCUCAUUGAGGAUUUAGACAGGAGUCCUAAUUCCUUUUUUUAGUUUUUACAUAUUGCUCAUCAAGAGGGAUUGUCGGCAUCGAAACUCGAAUUUAGACCUUUAUAUUAUUUACUCAUGUUGACUAGUUUAUUAUACUUUAGUAAUAGGCUAAAUAGCUAAAAUGGUCCCUGAUUUGCAUAAUCAAUAGAAAUGGUCAUUGUGAUUGUCCACCAUCCAUGAUUCUUUUGGGCAAUUUUCAAAACUUCGUAACUCAAUUAAUUCUAAACCAAAUUCGAUCCAUAAUAUAUCAAAAUGAAGAUAGGAAAGUGUAAAACAAGAUUAUACCUAUUUGGAAGCCCAAUGGUUGCCGGAUAUAACCCGAAAAUAGCCUGAAAGGUGGCUGGUCCGCGGAAAAACUGACAACUCGCCGUAAACUGUGUAAACUUUAAACGUUCAUAACUUCUUCAAUACUCAACGAAAUCGAGUGAUUCUGUUUGGGCUCGAUUUUACAAUAUCGGCUCGAGCCAUCAAGGUCGUUGAAUGAGUAGGUUCUAGGCCGUUGGAUUUCUUAUUUUUCUAGAUAUUACUAUUGGAUUAUUAUAGUAAUUAUCUUAUAAAAUAUAUUUUUGGAAGCAAAGGAGAUCAAUUUCAGUUUGAAUUGCUACACUUACAUGAUUGGUUUGAGAGCUAACGUGGCAAGUUAAAAGAUUAUCUUCCCUGCAUUUAUGCAAAUACAAUGGGGUAAAAGAUGAGAUCAUAUUGGUCAAGGUUAGUUGGCGUGGAUAAAAAUGAUCUGAUGACCUUCUUUGGUUGGUCAACGAGGUGAAAUAGGUGAUCAGGAAAUCAAUGCAUGCGUUGGAUAAAGAUUACGAUGUUGAUGGAAUUACGAUAAGGGAAAAGUAAAAAUGGUGAUGUGCUUGAAAGAUGACUUUACACGUGGUGGUGAUAAAAGAUGGCAGUAAUUAUCUUGUUGAGUAGGCUAAAUGAUUUAGCAUAUUGGUAUAGACUUUUGCGUUAUGAGCCAGCAUGUGGUUGAUGGAUAUUUGGGAUAAUUCAAGAGGUUUAGUCUCGGUUGGUUUCUAGGAAAUCACCAAGGCCACGGGAUCAAUUUGGGAUAAUUUGAGAAGUUUAAGUCUCGGUUGAUUUCUAAGGUUAAGGGAUCAUGCAUACUUGAGAGAAUAUUCCCAUUAUUGACGACGACAAUCCUAGUGUUCUGCUAUUAUAAAUACAAGGGGUCAUCAUUCUAAAGGUCCCUUUCAAUUCAACACACAACUACCCUGCGCAAAUUCUCUCAACAACCUUGAGACUUUUUCCUUUUCUAUUUUCGCUGACACACCUUCAGUUUGGAUAAACAGCACUGUGAAGGCAACCGGUAGUAUCUUCAAUCGGCAUACAUAACACUGUCACUGUAGAAUCAGCCGACCUCACAGCAUCUUCAGUUUGGAUAAACAGCAUUGCGUCGAGGGCGACUGGUUAUCUAUCCAAGUCUUGAUCGAGAAGGAUUUCCGAGUCCUUGUUGGUUGAGGUCAUCUCAUCAGCCUUCUCGGCGAAGUGAGGUGUUAUAGUUUAUUGGGCUCGGCACACUACACGCCGAGUUAUUUUAUGAUUGGAUACUCACAAGUGGGAUUUAAAGUUUGGCAUUCAAACGGCCGAACCACGUUUACUGUUAAGACUUAUAUUUGCUUUGAGUAUUUAUGCCCUUACACUUUGGUGUCGAUUCAGCGUGAGUUUACUCUGACGAAUAUUAUCACUGUGACCGAAUUCGACGACAACGAUUUGUGAACUUCGUAAGAAUAGUAGCCUUGUCUUCAGGUUCGAGAACCCAAGAGGCCGAGACGUGUUCCUUCCUCGGUCGCAAUAGCAAGACGCAAAAGUCGACCGCAUACCCAACGCAACGUCAACAAAUUUUACUCAUUGGCCGAGCUCGGUCGACGAGUUGGCACGCCCCGCACACAACCGAAGGACGUAGUUAGCUCAUAGAUUACUUAGCCUGCGUGCCACGUAGGCUUGGUAGUUUUUAGGGUCAACAUUUUGGCACGUCCAGUGGGACCUAGUGCUAAUACUACGAAGUUCAUAUGAUAUAUCAAGAUUCCAAUCUCGUUCAAUGCAGCUGAUUGUGCGAGCUCUUAGAGGAAUUGAAAAAACACAAUGAGGAACGUAAAAAAUCUUAGGAAGUGGAAAAAGUUCUUCGUGGCCAUAGAGAGAUGCAAAAGUCAUUCGCUUACAUGUUGAGAAUAAACGCUCAUGUUACCCUGCAUGAGCAAAGGGUACAUGAAGACAGGGCUCGAUUUAAUGCCUGGCUAGAUGGAGAACAUUUUCCUUACGUUUUCGACUACUUAUCAAUUCCAUUUGAGGAAUGGUUGGUUGAAAAUACCGGGGGGUAAUUUUUCGCUCCGGCCGUAAUCAAACAUCGGCCUAAGAAAAUUGUUAAUUUGGCCAAAGAACAAAGGCCACCUAUUUUUUCGGUCGAGGCUGAAAAUAUGGUCGGCCAAGACAAAAAACCUAGGCCACCUAUUUUUUCGGUCGAUAUUGAAAGUGUGGUAGGCCUAGAAGGAAAAAUUCAAGUUUAUGAGCCACAAAUCGACUCAGAAAAUGAUUCGACUGAACAGUGCUCCAAUGAUGAACAAGGCUGAGACAUAGGCCUAGUCGGAAAAACCACGACAAUUGAUAUGAUUAUUGGUGAUAAAGCCGAUAUGGAGAAAUCUCAUUCGGUUAAAUUGUUUAAGUUAAAAGUUGAAAUUGGCAAAAUUAUUAUGCCCGGGGGGCGUAGUAAUUGUUCAAUACAUUCAGUAGUCGAUGAUAAAAAAUAUUUCACUAAGUCAAAAGUAUUUGGAGAUGAUUCUUUAUUCGGCCUAGAGCAAAAUCAAUUUCAAAAUUUUGUUAUUACAAGAUCUCGGCUUGGAAUAAAGCAUCGUUGGCCUUCUCCUGACUAUGGUUCGGCUACUUUUAUUUCCAUUUAAAAAAAAUAAAAAAGAAUAAAUUAUUUUCUUAAUCAUCUGGCUAAUUAAGUCGAUGCAUAAGAAAAUAAGGGGGCAACAACACUGCAACAAUCCAAAUAUAUAUAUAUAUAUAUAUAUUAGUUGGCCGAGGAAGUAAUCCAAAUUUGCUAAGAAGACGUGAUAUUGCAGCAUGUAUUUCAUUGUGUGUUUUCUGACGGUCGAGAGUCGGAAAAAAAAAAAACACUUUCAGCCUUUUAGGCCGAGGAUAAGCAAGAAGCAUAAGGGAUUUCAAAGGCCAAGAGUCGGGAAGAAAAUUCAGUGGAAUUGGAUUUCGGUGGGUCUGCACGGCCUUGGAUCUCACUGAGGUGAGGUUUACUGUUAAGACUUAUAUUCGCUUUGAGUAUUUGUGCCCUUACACUUUGGUGUCGAUUUGGCGUGAGUUUACUCUGACAAAUACUAUCACUGUGACCGAAUCCAACGACGACGAUUUGUGAACUUCGUAAGAAUAGUAGCCUUGUCUUCAAGUUCGAGAACCCAAGAAGCCGAGAUGUAUUCCUUCCUCGGUUGCAAUCACAAGACGCAGAAGUCGGCCGCGCACCUAACGCAACGUCAACAAAUUUUACUCCUCGGCCGAGCUCGGCCAAUGAGUUGGCACGCCCCACACACAACUGAAGGACUUAGUUAGCUCAUAUAUUACUCGGCCUACGCGCCAUGUAGGCUUAGUAGUUUUUAGGGUCAACAGAUUCAAAAACGAAAAAAUCAUACUUCUUGACGAGACGAAGAUAAUGGUACUUUUCUUGACCGCUAACUCGUCGUGGUUUGGCAGGAAAAAAGCUCGAAAGUGCCACUUUCGAGCCCUUUUUUUAUUUUUUAUUUCUCAGGUGAUUAAUACAAAAAAUAAGUGAGGAAUUUUGACAUGCAUCAAANAAGCAUAAAAAUUACUUUUGUCGAAUUUACUUUUUCUCAUAAGCUUAAGAACUACUGCUUACAUAACUCAUAAGAACUUUUAAUUCUUUCUUGGGGUAAAAGUGAAACGACAUAGGUCAUUAAGGAUUAAGCGAGUCGAAUCAGUCUUUAGAACUCGGUCGUCGAUUUGCUUCAACAGCCUACCUUCCCCCGCUGGGAGCGAUUGUGAUUUUUCAAAAUUUGAAGUCCUCAGAAAAGAAUUCAAUUCCAUUGGGUUGAGUGUCAUUGUCCUCAUCGUCGGCAUAUUCGAUGGCUUUGUGGGUAGUGUGUACGUGACCAUGAGUUUUGGUUAAGCAUGCCCUCCAUAUUUGAUUUUCAAUUCCUACACAAAUAGAAGUAUGCAACAAUCAGGUACGCAUUUACAUCAAUGAAUAAUAGAGGGGAGAAGAACAAGGUAGGGAUGGGAUGGAUCUUGACCCACAUGGAAUUGAUGUGUGAUUCUAUAGGAAUUGUGACCAACCAAAUGUUUAGGUUUAUUUUUUUUUCCCAAAUCUUUUCAUUUGAAGGAGAAAAUAUGUGUCCUUUGUCAUAUAUAAAAUAUAUAUGCCCUACCAGUCACCUAGUUGAUCAUUUGGGUAAUCAAAUUAUCUGUAUUAAAUUGUGGAGCACUUCCUUCUAAUACAGGUAAUACCCAUUAAUCUAAUCUAAUUGAUACAUUACAUUACAAAUUUUGUUUUUUUUAAAUGUGAUUAGUUGGUAGCUUCACUAUGACAGUUCACCUUUUUUAGGGCCGAAAAGACUCACAGAAAUAUUUCAGACUCUCCAUAGGCACUUCAUCAGCUCUAGAAAUCGAAUACAAUACGUAUUAUGUAGAAUACGAGCCAGAUACCAUUUCUUUAAUUAAAAACAAAUAUUGGUUUAAAAAAUCAAGGUUUUGGUCCAAUGUGCAUUUUCAGCACUCAACCAAAAGCAAAACACUUCACGAAUCAUGGCCAUGAGAUGUGCCCUUUUGACAAAAAAUUAAUAAGUAAUUAAUUUGGCUUUGACAACCCCAAUUAUCCCCUAGAUAAUACCAUUUUAUAAUCCUAAUGAUUAAAAUAUUGAAUCAAAGGUUUCACAUGGUGGUUAGUCGCUAUCGAAUAAAUCUAAUUGAUGCUACAACACAACAAGUUGUCCCACUCCACAUGAUGCUUCAUCCGUGUAAUCCAUAUAUAAACCAAUCUUUCCAAUACCUAAUUAAACCCCGUAUUUAAUUAUAUUAUCAUCCCAGAAUCAUGUGUACAUUUUUAUGUUUAUAUAUAUUGGAAAAUAUAUUUUUAUUUAUUUAAUUCUCUAAUCAAUGAAUUUGAGCAAGAUGCAUAUGGUCAUGGUUUGCUGAAAGCAUAUAGAAUAUCAUCAAGGUGACAAAUUAAUCCACAGAACAUAUUUUGAAUGAUGAAACUUGUAGUAAAAAUCACUCUCUAUUUUUUAUUUUAAACCUUAUGUUUUCAAAAAUGUGUCCAUUUUUUCUUCUUCUAUGUAAGCUAAUUGGAAUUAAUUUCAACUGCGGAUCCAAAAAUUAUACUCAUGAGGUCUUGGUGUAUAUAAGAUUUAUGUCUAGUUAGAGCAUUGAGGCAUUUUGUCAAGCAUUUUAGUUGCAUGUAAACAUUUGUCAAGCCAUGUGCUAGGCGAUCGAUAUAUGGAGAGCCAUGUUGCAUCUAUCAAGCAAUGUUGUUGAAGCUUGCCAAGCAUCAUUACCGAGAUCUGUCGAGCAUGCAUAUCAUCAAAACAUUAGUAGGAAAGGGACCUACCAAUCCAUUCUCCUAUCUUUCGGGGGUCUUGGGACCUGAUGGCCCUUUAAUGGUGUAGAGAGCUACUUCCGUAUUCGAGACCAGAAUAUCGUCUCUCGUUUUCACCUCCUUUGCAAUGAAGAAAAAAACUCAAAAAAGGAACUAGAUUUCCCACAAUUAGCCUGCCAGCUGAAGCAACGUGACUGAAUUACUUAAGCUUGAAUUAACCCAAUAUCAAGCUAAGAGAGUUAACCGCACUUUCAAUACACUUCCAACCCCUAUACCAAUAAUAUUGUUCAACCCAUUAAUUAAAUUUCAUUGCCUCUACCAACCAACAGUCCAGAAAACCAGCUGAAAACUUAUGUGUUUGCCAAUAUGUUAGUUGCCCUCUACCCAUCUCCCAUCUUCCAUCUUCCCAUGAUUCAAGCAAGGGCAACCUUCUCUAUCUUUAUUUCUUCUUUAUUCAAGUUUCUGUUAGAGGUCGCACUUGGUGUGAUGGCAAGUGCCUCGCCCAUGAGCGGUAGUCUCGGGUUCGAGACUUGGGAGCAGCCUCUCCAUAAAUGGGGUAAGGCUAGCCGACAUUCACCUCUCCCAGACCCUGCUAAAGCGGGAGAGCCUUGUGCACUGGGUAGACCUUUUUUUAUUCAAGUUCUGUUACAUUUUCAUUUGUCUUCCCAACGGCAACGAAAGGGGAUUGACAUAGCUUGAGAGACCUAAUUGUUUUUCUUGAUCAAACUGAAACCCCAAACUGGCAUUGUCAUAAAUUUCACCAAAUGAAACUAUUAGCUAAUAUCUUGUAUUUAGCUCCGGAAUCCGAUCCAUUUGAAUAUUACAAAUGCAUACGAUACGUCAAUUACUUCCAAAUGGAAUACAUAUAACGAGAGCCACUAUGUUAUCUAUUUAUCAGUCACAAUUGCAUAACUAGACGGCUUUUGAUUUAAGUGAGUUUUUUUAUACUUUAAUCAUAACCUAGAAAAUGAUCGUUCAGUUAUAAAAAUAUUGUACAAUAAACAUAUAUUAAUGAUUAGAACGUCGUAAAUUACUUACUGGUUGACUUGAACGGUCUAUAUUUUAAUAUGAACAAAGAGAUAUCCAACAAAUUGGUCAAUUUUGGAGCGAGGAUCCCUGUGAUUCUCAAAUCACAUCCGUUCAUCAUACAUCGUAUGGUCAAAAAUCAUUGUAAAUUUUUUAUUUAAAAUUGAAUAUAAAUAGUAGUUAUGAAAACUGAUCGACGAUAUACGAUAAAUUGAUGUAAAAUUCCCAAAUCUUCCCAAAGAGAUCCGGCAAAUCCUCUCUCAUUUCCUUGCCAUAAGAUAUUGCAUUUGGUGGCAAUGAAAAAUACUAGCACGCAUAAUCAUAUACAAGUAAACCAAAUGUUUAAUUAGAUAUUUGCAAGUACAAUCUACAUGUUCGAUUUGAGUACAAGACAACUUUGCCUAACAAGAAAAAAAUACAAGGUGAAGAGACAAGAAGACUCAUAUGAUGACUAGGGUUUCGAUUAAUUUUGGUUAAUAAGUCAAAAAAAUUUGGCAAAGAACGGUAGUUGCCCAAGUCUAAUCCUUUGGAAUACAAAUGAGCAUACUCAAACUACACAAAAACAUAAACUUGUUUUAAAUGUUAAAUUAGGUUAUGUCUUGUCAUUGGGCUAUUUACAUUAUUAGUGACAUGAAAAGUUGUCAACUCAAAAAUGAUCAAAUGUAAAGCAAAUAACAUUUAUUAGUGACAUAUAACAUUUUAGUUAAAAAAGAGCCAUGUCAAGUAAAAGUUACUCAACAGAAUAGAAAGUUAGAUUUGAUUCAACCAUUCCAUUAUACAUACACAACUCGUUAAACUCACCGUCACUUAGUCCUAUAUAAAUUUACGUAAGAAUAAUUCUCACUGAAGAUUACUUUAAGAUCAUCUUCAAUAUAGAUGUCAAUUUAAUUUUAUACCAUGUGGAGAUAAAUUUUUCCAGGAGCUUGAGAAGAAAUGUGCGGUGUACAUGCGACGCGAUGUGUACGGCACCAUGGGACGCGACGGAUUGCCGGUGAAGGAGAAAGUGCUGCUAGGGCUCGCGCUGGUGACUCUGGUUCCGAUACGGGUGGUUCUAACGACGACGGUGUUGGUGCUGACGACGACGGUGUUGGUGCUGUACUACUUGAUUUGCCGGAUUUGCACUCUCUUCAAAGUCCCCAAUCACGAUGAGCAGGAGCAGGAGGAUUACGCGCACAUGGGAGGAUGGCGGCGGGCGGUGAUUGUCCAGUGCGGCCGCGCCUUAUCCAGAGUAAUGCUCGUUGUCUUCGGCUUCUAUUGGAUCAGCGAAACCCAUCGAAUAUCAUCGGAUUCUGACCCCAAACCCGCCGCCCAGGUACUCUCUCUCAUCGUUUCUCUCUCUAAAGCAUGAAAAUUGAUUUCGUGAGAUUUUGAGCAGUGAAUUUUGAUGUUAAAUUUUUGGUUAGGGAAAAGAUGGGGCCGAAGAGAAGGAGCCUGAAAGGGCAGGGGCGAUUAUAUCGAAUCACGUUUCGUAUUUGGAUAUCUUGUAUCACAUGUCUAAUUCGUUUCCGAGCUUCGCUGCCAAGGUUUGCCACUCUCUUCACUUGUUCUUACUAAUUUUAUGGCACCGGAUGUGAAUUUUGAUUGAAAGAUGUUCCAUUUUUAUCUAUCUCGACCUAUUAUCUAUGUAUUGAUUCCCAUUUUUUGUUAUCCUGGAUUUUGUUGGUGAAGAGAUCGGUGGCGAAAGUUAGUAGUGUUAGACCGGGUCGUUAGUUUGUUUGAAGUCUUGUAUUUGGUUUCAAAGACUUCUCUCUUCGGAGUUGGAUAGGCUUAGGACUUUAUGUAAAUAGGGUUUUCAAACCCUGAAUGUAAUCUAUAUAUUGGCUAUAAAUAUACGCAACCCAAGUCUUUCUGGGUAUGCAAAGUUGAUGUGAAGCAACCCUCUUGUCAAAUAUACAAAACCUGCAGUCUCUUUUCAAAGACUGUUUCAUUUGCUUUCGCUUCCUUUAAUUUCAUUAUGUUUCUGAAAAUCUGUAGUUUAUCUGUCACCAUAGUAUUCCGUCAAUUCAUUUUCGGAUUGUUAGUUUUGACAGCAAGUGCCUGGGUUGUGUCUAUAUUCAGCGGGAGUUUUGUAAACACUCGUAAUGUGUUCACCGUAACUCGUGUGUUAUUGGAGGUAUCUAAGUUGAAAACUAUGAUCGAUCACAAGCGGAUUAUAUAACGAGUUUUCGGUUGGCUCCAGAGAGGAAGUAGCUGAACACCGAUUAUCCAAGAGGGUUCGAGUCAGAUUGUUGCUUACGGGAGGAGGUAAGAGCUCAGAACUAAUGGGAGAUUUCUCCAUGGCAUUGGCUUUUGCACUCUAAAAUGGAGGAAAGCUCGGGAGGACGGAUACAUCUAGCACAAGUUCAAUGCUUUAAAUGAAGUUUAUAAAAUUAACGAUUUAAGUUUUUAUGAUGAAAAUACAUUAUUCAAAAAAGGUGAAAUAUGUUCAUUACCCUGUGUGAAGAACGCGAGUAUGGAAGGAUUCUACUAUAAAAAAUAAGGGUGGGCAUAAAAAUCAUGGAACCGUGAAACCGAAUCGAACCACAACAAAAGAGACCAUAAAAUACAGUGUUGACAAAAAAAAAUAAUAAAUAAGUCAACUUAGGUUAUAGAACCGGACUGAAUCGUUCAUACCAAUUUCGAUUCUAGUUUUCACCUUAGAAGAACCGGCCAAACCAAAAUGAACGGCGAUUUUAAAUAAUUAAUCAAAAUUUAUUAGUUGUAUACAAGCGUCAUUAGAUAAGUGGUAAAAAACAAAUUGGUUUCACGUACUGCAACUGCACUUAAUCAUUUCUCAAUUAGGUUUUGUGUUCUUUCUUUUGAUCGAAUCGUCAUUCCUUAGUGCCUCGCUCGUUUGAUCCUCCUCCUCCAGUCCUUCCUCUCAUGAUAUUGGAAUCAAUUGUAGCAAUGCAAAUGGGCAUUCAAGGCCAGAUAAUUUAUUCCCUUCUGUGAUUUUUAUAUGGCAUUUGACUUGGUCUUGUACGUUGUGCUCUCAAAAAUUUAAUCAUGCCAUCAUGACGUAUUUCAACCAGUUACCACUUCUUGGUUCUUGGUUUUCUUACAAAGUCGGACUCAUAUUCGUUAUUUGGGCUGCAAGUAAUAAAUGCCCAAGUCUCCUCUGGAUCUCCCAAAAAAAAUAUCUAUCGUUAAAAGGAUAAACUCUAGACUAAUAAUACCAUAACUUUAACUAUUUAAUUAUUGAAUCAAUUGAUACUUUUAACAAUAAAUUAAAAAGGUGUUUCAAAGUUUUGACCUUGAGUAAGGACUUACUGAUCACUACUUUUUUCGUUAUUGAUACCAGCGUUUGUUUAUACAUUUUGUGUGUAUGAAUAUUUUUUUUAAAUGAGAAGGAGAGAGAGAGAGGUUUUUGUUUUUGGUUUUAUUUUUUAUUUAUUUUAAAUAUUACAAAUACUUUAACAUAACCUGUGAGGUUUCAAUAAAAACAGUAAAAUUUAGACCUAUGAAAUUACAUUAUUGCUCAUUAUUUAUUUUUUUUUAUGAUAGAAGACUAAAUAGUAUUUUCACCCUCUUUUGAUUGACAAAGGGAGUUAUAUUAACUAAUAGAAAUGCAGUAAUGAUAACUCGUCCUCCUUCAAAGUAACAUGGUGCGAAUUGGUCGACGAGCGGGUUAGGGGUGGCUGUCGAGAUGAUGGGGUGAUUGACUUUUUGUGAGUUUAUUUGUAUUUCUUUAAUUUUUAUUAUAAGAAAAGGAUAAAUUGCAUUUUGCACCCUUAAAUUUUAGUGAGAUUGCAUCAUCAUAUAAUAACUUUAAAAUAUUUCAAUCUCAUAUAUUUACUUAUCAUUUAUUUCAAUUUUAAACGUUCGUUAAAAAAUCUAUUAAGUUAACAGUUAAGUGAUGAUGUGGCAAAUAUAGAGUCCUUGAAAAGAAGACAAAAGGAAAAAAAAAGAAUAAAGCUUUAGUUAACGUUCCAUUAAAAGAUAGGCUUUUUAAUCAAAAUAGUCCUUGAGAUUUGCAUAACACAUCACUUUGGUCCAUAAGAUUUGAAAUCAAUAGAAGUGGUCCUUGAGAUUGUCCACUAUCAAUCAUUUUGGUUCUUAUGUGCAAAAUUAUGUUAAAUAAGGAUCAAAAUGAUAAAUAUACCUUCAAUUUAAUAAACAAUGGGCCAAAAUGAUUUGACAAAAUUAAGAGUAUUUUUUCAUUAUAUUCUUAUUUAAUGAAGAUUUUUAAAAAAAUGACCAAAAUGAUUGAUGAUGGACAAACUCAAGGACCAAUUCUAUUGAUUUCAAAUCUCAAUGAUCAAAGUAAGGAGUAAGGAGUUAUUAAAUCUCAGUAACCAUUUUAGAUAAAAAGCCUAAAAAAUAUCUAAUGGCUGAGCAUGUGAAUCCUCAUUUUUUACCUUCACCUGAAGAACCUAAAUAUUAUAAGAUUUAAUUUAAUUCAAGUCCAAUUUGAGAGUCAAUAUUAAGAAUAGUCCAUUUCUCGUGAUCUUUGACAUAAGUUCAUUCCACGUCAUCUAUUAUAUAUAAAGAGAGAAGAAAAGGUGAAUAGUAUUUUGGUGUCACCAAGCUUCAACAAAAGAAAGGGACAAAAAUGCCCCAUAAACAAAAAACUUCAAAGGCAUCCCAAAAUAAUGCAUCAAAUAAGGUAGGGGCAUUUUUGUUAUUUUAAUAGUAUUUUUUUAAUAAUUAAAUUAUUUUGUGGUUUUUUUUUAAUUAUUACCUCACAAUAGGCUACCAAUUAUUUGAUUCAAUUUAUCUAUUUCUAAACAAGACGUGUAAUGCCGAUUAUAAAAAGGAUAUUUCACACGUGGAUAAUAAUGUGAUUAAAUUAGUUGUCAAAUGAUUGUUUUUUUUGUUGUUGUAACAAAUGAUAUUAUCUAUACUAAGGGGGAGGAAUGUGAGUUUAGCCUCACAAUGGGCUAGCAACAAUGUGAUUCAAUCAGUUGUUUAUUAAAUAUUAUUUUAUCUAUUUUAAACACGUUCAAAAAAUCUUAAGAGGCUUGUAAUGCCGGUUAUAAAAAAAGUCUUUCGCACUCGUAUAAUAAUUUGAUUAAAUUAUUUGUUAAAUGAUUAUUUUUUUUAUUAACAAACGAUAUUAUCUACAUUAAGAGGAAUGAGGUGGGCUUAGCCUCACAAUGGGCUAGCAAUAAUGUGAUUCAAUCAAUUGUUUAUUAAAUAUUAUUUUCUCUAUUCUUAAUGUAAAAUUUAUAGAGAUCGAUUUUAUUAUGUGAAUUCAACUGCUUUAAUUGGUUUAUGAGGGGUUUCUUCUAGCAUGAUAUAAGAUUAUUCAUUUACUUCAAAUAUUUGACUUUCCUUUUGUCAAUUUACACACAUAUAUACAUUUAAAACGUAUAAGUCGCGCAUAGCACGUUGUGAUUCAAAAAAUAUCUUCUGCACGUUCGUGAGCGCAUGCAUAGAAGCUAGUUUUUAUUAUCUUUUAAAUUGUUAAUCUUUAUUUCAAUUUGGCCCUUAUAUUUUAAAUUAUCUCUACUCCUUUUUUCAAGGAUUUUUACUUCUCUUUUUAAAUAUCCAUUGCUAGUUUGAAUUUCUCCCUUUUGAAUUCCAAAAAGAUGGGCAUCCGCCCAUUUUCAACCUGCACACGAAAUCAAACACAUAGACAAAGUAAGUAACACUAAUGACAUGUUUACGUAAGGGUAAUCGGAAUAAAGAAAGGGAAUUGAAUUCCGAUUACGGAGUAUUCCGGUGUUUACUAAAUAUUAAGGAAUCAAAAAAGUGGUGGAGCCCACACGAAACAAGGAAUCCAAUUCCUGAAAUUGGAGGAACCGGAUUCCCUAGUUUUGUGAGGUAUUUGAAUUCCCUAAGGGCAAGGGAAUCAGGAAUGCAUCUUUUAUUCCAAUUAUGCCCUCACUUGUUUCUUAUUAUCCCAACAUUGCCUUUCAUUUGACACUCAUUAUGUCAUUUUUAAUAAAUAAAUAAAACCUAUUUAUAUUUUUUUAUAUAGAUAAUUUUAUUAUAUAAAUUUAAUUAAGAAUUUAAUUUAAUUAAUUAGUAUGAAAAUAAUUUAUUUAUGUAAGGGCAAUUUAAGAGGUUGCACUUGGUGCGAUGGCAAGUGCCUUCGCCCAUGAGCGGUAGGUCUCGGGUUCGAGACUUGGGAGCAGCCUCUCCAUAAAAUGGGGGUAAGGCUAGCCGACAUUCAUCUCUUCCAGACCAUGCGUAAAGCGGGAGUCUUGUGCACUGGGUACGACCUUUUAUGUAAGGGCAAUUUAGUCAUCAACUUAGUUUUCAUUCCGAUUGAAGUGAAUUAGUAAACAACUUAUAUAGACUCAAUAUCAUUUUUGCCAUCUUUUAAUAAAUAAAUAAAACCUAUUUAUACAUGCUUAUAUAGAUGAAUUUUAUUAUAUAAAUUUAAUUAAGAAUUUAAUUAAAUUAAUUAGUAUGAAAAUAAUUUAUUUAUGUAAGGGCAAUAUAGUAAUCAACCUAGUUUUCAUUCCGAUUGAAAUGAAUUAGUAAACAACUUAUAUGGACUCAACAUCAUUCCUACUCCGAUUCCUGACAGUUUUAGUAAACAACUUCAACAGGAAUCUGAUUCUGAUUCCACCUCAUUUCAAUUCCUCCUCAAUCCAAUUCCCCCUCAAUCUAAUUCCUCUCAAUUUGAUUACGGAUUAGUAAACACGCCAUAAAAUUUGUUGACGUAGGGUGUGUGGUCCAGGUAGUCGUAGUACAUUGGAUCACAUCCAUCACGUGCCAACGAAAACGGAUCUCUAUUGAAAUGCCGCAAUAUUAUAUGAAAAAUGUUAAGAAGAUUUUGUUGACGUAGGGUGUGUGGUCCAGGUAGUACAUUGGAUCACAUCCAUCACGUGCCAACGAAAACGGAUCUCUAUUGAAAUGCCGCAAUAUUAUAUGAAAAAUGUUAAGAAGAUUUUUUUUAAAAUGAAAUUAUAUAUAAAUUUCUGUUACUUCAUAAUUUAACGUUAAUUUUUGUGCAAAUAUUAUAGAACAUUGUGCAAAAAAUGAUGGGUUAAAAAGUUCACACAAAGUCACACUUUACGAGAAUAUUCUUAACAUUUUUUUAUGUUAUAUUGUACACAAACUAGAAAAUAUUAUAUAAGUUUAAAUAAUAAAGAUAAAGCCACGUACAGCCCUCGAAGAAAUAUCACACUUUUCACUAAUCAGCUUGAUGCUCCUUAAGUACUCAUGAGUUUUUUUGUUAUUGUUUUUUUACUAAUAAGUUUAUAAUAAUAAAAAUACCAAAUUAUAUUGUCAGACAACGUUGAAUAUGUAGGUUCAUAUGUUAAUUAUUUGAGGGGUUCUUUUAGGGCCAAUAAAAUAUAAGCAACGCCAACUUCGAAAAGGAACUACAAAAGAAACAACUUGUGAUGAUUACAAGAAUGACUCUGCACUUAAAACUACCAACGAAGUCAUUAAUUGUGUAUGUACCAUACUUCACCAAUCCCGAAACUACUGAGUACCGGUCAACGUUAUACCGUCAAUGACCCAGAAGAAUUUCCCUCCAACCAGGAAGCCAAUCGUAGCACGACACGUGUCGACAUCAGAAGCCAAUCAUAGCGCGACAAUGUCAACAUCAGAAGGCAAUCAUAACACGACAUGUGUCAAUGUCAGAAUGAAACUAGAAAGUCUCUUCUAUAAAUAUAGAUCAUUCUUUCACAAUAUUUCAUAAUGUCAUUUGUACUAAAUCAUUCACUUGUACUCACUAAAUGAGAGCUUGAACCUAUGUACUUGUGUAAAUCAUUUGCAAUUAAUGAGAACUCCUCUACUCCGUGGACGUAGCCAAUCUGGGUGAACCAUGUACAUCUUGUUUUUGCUUCUCUAUCUCUAUCCAUUUACAUACUUAUCCAUACUAGUGACCAGAGCAAUCUAGCGAAGGUCACAAACUUAACACUUUCUGUUGUACCAAAGUCCUCACUUAUUUUGUGCAUUAACAAAUUGCAUUAUGAUAAAUUGUACCAACGUCACCAUGAGACAUGAAAGAAAGACUCAAGCUCAAAAAGAAAAAUCUAACAUGGACGAAAGUCGCACUAUCUAUUAUAUAUCAAGCGAAUAGGGCAAUGAAUAGUGCCAAUUUGGUGUCACAGCUUUGACAAAAUAUUAGGACAAAAUUGCCCCUCAACCAAAACAAAUCCAAAAACAGCCCAAUAUAAUAUAUCAAAUAAUGCAGGGGUAAUUUGGUCAUCAUAAAAUAUAAUAUAAAUAUAAGUGGGAAGAGAGAAAAGAAUAAAAAAAAUAAAAAGAUGAGUAAAAGUUGAUGGUGCCCUCGUAAGGGGGAAAGAAAAAUAUAAUUAAAAGGAAAAUCAUGAAUAUUUUGUUCAAAACAUCUUACGAGGCGCGUAGUGCCAGUGAUAAAUUAGUACAUUUAAAAAAAAAAAUUAGUACCUUAUAAUAUGGGUGGGCACGAGCCGGGCCGGGUAUCACAAAUAUGAUCACUGAAACCGGACCUAACUCGGCAAAUUUGAUCACUGGAACCAGACCUAACUCGGCCCGUUUGAAAUGGCCCGGUUCGGGAUGGGUCCACGGGUCAUUUUUUCCGGUUUUGAACCCCUCCCGAACUCGCCAUCAUCCAGAAUCCUAGAUCCUAUAUCUUCGACUCUGAUACCAGAACCAAAACCUAAUUGUUUUAAAACCUCAAUUCUCAAACCAAACAAACAAACAAAAAAAAUCAAAAAAUUAGAAGGUUGGGGGAGAGAGAGAUCAAGAGGGAGGAGGUUGAGAAUCGACAAAUCCAAGGUGUGAGAAAUCGGAGACAUAUGCGUUGGGAGAGAGAGAGAGACUAGGGGAGAGAGAGAUCGAGAUGGAUGAGGUUGAGAAUCGACAGAUCCAAGGUGUGAGAAAUCGGAGACACAUGCAUUGGGAGAGAGAGAGAGAUUGGGGGGGAGAGAGAUCGAGAUGGAGGAGGUUGAGAAUCCACGUAUCCAAUGUGAAAUCGAAGACAAAGGUGUCGGGAGAGAGACUGGGGGAGUGAGAGAGGGAGGAGACUGGGUAGAGGAGAGUGACGAGAGCAUUCGAGAAGGUGUGAGACACUGGUGGAGGUUGCGGUGGGGUGUGGGUGUGGUGUGUCUGCUUCGGGAAUGAGAGUUGCAGAGAUAUGUGUGGUAAAGGUAGGAGAGGCAUGGAGAGUUGCAGAGAUGGGAGAGGAAUGAAGAGUUGCAAAUAUGGGAGAGAAUGAUCAAGAUAAGAGAGAGUGAGUGAGCCAAGGUGACAAUGUUCUCGAGAUUGAGAACUGUCACGGGAUGCCUGGGAGACAGUAAUCUUUUCAAAAUUGGGAUGUUACACAAACGGGACCCCGGGUACCCAUUUUUUUUAUAAUUUUGGACUCAGCCCACCCCUAAAAUUCUAAAGCCCUGCCCUGCCCCGCCCCGUUUCUCUUUUUAAAAAUUAAGAACCAUCCCGUACCCGCCUCGACCCGCGGUUCCUGUACCCGUUUGCCCACCCCUACCUUAUAAUAGACUAGCAAUAAUGUGAUUCAAUCAGAUGUUGUGAAUAGUGAUUUUGGUGUCACCAAACUUCAACAAAAAUAUUUAGACAAGAUAAAAAAACUUCAAAGACAUCCCAAAAUAAUGCAUCAAAUAAGGCAGUUUCGUCAUUUUAAUAGUGAUUCACAAUAAGCUAGCAAUAAUGUAAUUUAAUUUCUCUAUUUUUAAACACGUUCAAAACAUUUUAAGAGGCGUGUAAUGCCGGUUAUAAAAAAGGCAUUUCACAUGCGGAUAAUAAUAUGAUUAAAUAAGUUGUCAAAUGAUUGUUUUUUUUUUCUUUUCAACAAACAAUAUUAUCUAUACUAAAGGAAGGGGGUGGGCUUAGCCUCACAAUGAGUUAACAAUAAUGUGAUUCAAUCAGUUGUUUAUUCAAUAUUAUUUUCUCUAUUUUUAAACACUUUCAAAACAUUGUAAGAAGCGUGUAAUGCCGGUUAUAAAAAAAGUCUUUCGCACGCGGAUAAUAAUGUGAUUAAAUUAAUUGUCAAAUGACUGUUUUUUUUUUUUUUUUUUACAAACGAUAUUAUCUACACUAAGGGGGAAGAGGGUAGGCUUAGUCUCACAAUGGGCUAGUAAUAAUGUAAUUCAAUCAAUUAUUUAUUAAAUAUUAUUUUCUCUAUUCUUAAUGUAAAUUCUAUAGAGACCGAUUUUAUUAUGUGAAUUCAGUUGCUUAAUUGAUUUAUGAGGGAUUUCUUCUAGCAUGAUCUAAAAGUAUUCAUUUACUUCAAAUAUUUGACUUUCCUUUUGUCAAUUUACACAUAUAAAUACAUUUAAAACGUAUAAGUCGAGCAUAGCACGUUGUGAUUCAAUGAAGGCUAGUAAUCUAUAAAACCCACAUCAUAAAAAUUCAACUUCAUCUCUUGCCAAACCCACACUACUCAAAACAACCACAGAUUGAAGAUUUUGAUAGAAAAAUUGGAUUGAAAAAGGAUAAAAAAAUAAUUGAUAGAGAACUCAAAAAUAAGCAAGCUUAAGCACGAACUUAAUCACCACAAAAGGGACUAAAAAAAUUAGUAUGUCAUCAAUGUGUGAUAAAAAAAAUCACUUGGUGGCUUAACCACAACAGUUUACCUUUUUGAGGACCAAAAAGACUUACAGAGUCACUUCAGCAUCUCUUUAACCAAUAUUGUGUGAUUUAUACGUUUCAAGAAUCUAUCUCAAAACAUACCGCAAAUAAAAUAUGAGUCUGAAAUACAUUUUUAAUCAGUGGGUCAUCCCGAAGCAGUUAUAGACCAUUAUUCAAUGUAUAAAAAUCACAAGUGCUAGACCAAUUCCAGGGCAGAGUUUUUUUGUAAGGUUAUUUUCGUUGGACCAGACCAAUUCCAGGGCAGAGUUUUUUUGUAAGUUAUUUUCGUUGGACCAGACCAAUUCCAGGGCAGAGUUUUUUUGUAAGGUUAUUUUCGUUGGACCAAUGAUAUUAAAAUUAUGCAUAGAUCACACAGAAGACAAUCCUAUCUUACUUGCAAGUUGCAUCGAACAGACAAGUAAAGGGUCCAAACCAACCAUGUCAUAAAUAAUCAAGUUCUUCAUAAUGGAUUUGGAUCCUCUCCUGAACUAAUGGAGGGGAUCCUCCUGACUAGUUAUUAUGGGCCAUUAGAUUUUUAUCCAACGGCUAUAAAUAGAGAAGCCACUUUAAAGUUAUAAUAAUUAUAACCGUUAGAUUUUUAUUUAAUGGUUCAUGAUAACUGGUCAGGAGGAUCCUCUCCAUUAUCUCCAGAGAGGAUCCAAAUCCCUUCAGAAUAACCAAAUUCGUCGAGAAAAACGUGGGACCGUGCAAUUUAACGACUUGAUCGUUCUUUAAUAAAUUGUAUAUAGACAAUAAAAUAUUAUGGGAUAAGUUUAAAUAAUAAGUAUAAAGCCAUCUCGAAAGUCGUCGAAGAAAUAUCACACUAUUCACGAAUCAGCUUGAUUGCUCCUUAAUUCAACAUUUGACUAAUGAGUUUAUAAUAUUAAAAAUAAUAAAUUAUAAUAUCAGACAACGUGGCAUAUGCGGGAUCAUAUGUUAAUUAUUUGAGGUUUCUUUGAGGGUGACCCAACUUGUUAUAAAAAUCACAAGCGCUAGAUCAAUUCCAGUUUAGAGUGUUUUUUGUAAGGUCAUUUUCUUGGGGGUAGUGAUAUUAAAUUACAUGGAAGACAACCUCAUCUACUUGUAAGUUGCAACGAACAGACAAGGAAGGGUUGAAUGUCUCAUUUUUCUAUCUUUAAUCAACCACGUCACUCUUAAUUAAAUAGAAAAGUAAUCAAUCACGUAAUUGACGAGUGAGAAAAGUCUUCCAAAAACUACAUAAUGUAGCACCAAUAUGAAUAAUUGCUAUAAAAAAAAAGCACAAAUGAAGCAACCUUAGGAGAACACCAAAGCAGCAGUUGCUGCCUUUUCCAAAUGGUUCCCCCGUUCUUCUAAAAAAAACUCUUAAACUACCAAGGUUUUGUUUUCAUGUGGUAGAAACAUGGAAACUCGUAAAUAACUAAUUAUUUAUAUUAUUACACGUAUUAAUUAUGUUUAAAAGAUAAAAUUAAAUAUAUGCGGGUCGGUUUGGUUAAUUGCACCCUAAGAAUUUUGAUAAUCGAUUAAGGUCAGUGCAGUUUGGUUUAGCCAUCGAAUUUUUUUUUUUAAAAGCCCAAACCAAACCAAACCGCCAGUGCAAUUUGGGCGGUUUAGUUGGUUUUUUAUUUUUUUAAUGCCCAGCCCUAUGUUCUACGUAGAACCCGACAUAAUUUUUUCUCUCAAUAACUAAGAUCCACAUAAGCAAAUUCAUCAAUUAUACUUUACUUAAAAUUUUUUUUUUACAUUUUCAAAUGCUUCAAAUAUUCCUAUUGCAUGUUUGAUGUACACAAUUAAUUCUAUAUGGGCUCUUUUAGGUUUGAUUAUCAUCAAAGAUAAAUUUGAAUCAUAUUAUUACAAACCCAUUGUAAGGCUUAGCUCACUCCCCCACCCUUUUAAUGUAGAUAAUAUUGUUUGCUUAAAAACAAAACAACAAUCUAUCUUUUACCUUUUAGUUGGUCAUAAUUUUUUCAUUUCACCCCUCAACAUACCUCAGAGAUAAAAAGUUACCUAUUUCAAUACAAUCAUACGUACUAAACGAUCCCAUAUUACUCCUAUAUAUACGUGUGUGUAUGACAAGGCGAUAAAUCAACUUAAGCCUUUGCCCAGUUCAUUGCUCAGUUCAGUAAAAAUCAUUUUGUCUCUAGCUUUCUAAUUAUUGAGUUGCAAAAAUGGAUUCUCUCCCAUAUGUAAACUCUAUCACUGCUGGCUUGUUCACAGUAAUCAUCGUGUUCUAUUACUUGUCACGAAGAUGGAGAGCUGCAAAUCACAAGCGCAAAUUAUCACCACCUGAAGCCAAGGGCGGUUGGCCUAUAUUUGGUCACCUUCCUUUGUUUGGAGGCUCCAUACCUCCUCACUUAACUUUGGGAGCCAUGGCGGACAAGUACGGACCCAUUUUCACUAUCCGCCUUGGCGUCCAUCCGUCGUUGGUGAUAAGCAGCAGUGAGAUCGCAAAAGAAUGCUUCACAACCAAAGACUUGAGCAUAAUCUCACGCCCAAGGAUGGUGGUUCUAGACCACGUUAGCUACGACUACGCCAUGUUUGGGUUCGGACCAGGUGGACCCUUUUGGCGAGAAAUUCGCAAGCUAGUCACCUUGGAGUUGCUCUCAGUCCGGAAGGUUGAGCUGCUCAAGCACAUUCGAGUGUCGGAAGUGGCUACUUUCUUAAAAGAAUUGCACGAACUUUGGAGUACAAAGAAAAAGGAGGGCUCGAAAGAUGGAGUGGUUGUAGAGCUAAAGCAAUGGCUUGGGGACAUGACGCUGAACGUGAUUCUUACAAUGGUGGCCGGAAAGCGGUAUUCCGUGGCUGCCGCUGGGGAUGAGAAGAAAGAAGCGCGUAAGGUUCAGACUGCAUUGAGGGAGUUAUUUGAUUAUCUGGGCAUGUUUUUGCUGGGUGAUGCGGUUCCUUAUCUGCGGUGGUUGGAUUGGGGUGGACAUGAGAAGGCAAUGAAGAAAAGUGCAACGGAAAUGCACGCCAUUGUUGAAGAGUGGGUUGAAGAGCAUAAGCAGAGGAGAGCAAAAGGUGAUGCAAAAGGAGAACAGGACUUCAUAGAUGCGAUGCUCUCUGUGCUUGAUGGUGCAGACCUUGGCAAUUUUGAUGCUGAUACGAUCGUCAAAGCCACAAGCUUGGUACGUAUAUAUAAUUCAUUAAUUUGCAGGCAAAUAAUUAACCAUAAAAAGCUGGAGCUAGACGCUAAACACAUCAAGAUUUUAUUUUUAGUUUCAAUACUUAAUUAAACUAAUUGCAUGGUCUAUAAAAAGAAAAUGAAAACAUAAGACAAGAAUUUUUUUUUAUUUUAAAACAUACGAUUUCCAAUUUUAUGUAUGACUCAUGCAACAUAUUUGAGUGCUUACCAAUAGGUGAUGGUAAAGAGAUUAUUUUUUUAGACUGUCUCUGUAAACUAUAUGAUGUGGUGGUUGAUAAUUAGAUUAUUUCUUUAAAUCUUUAAAAAUAGAAUACAACCAUCAACCACCAUAUUUUUUGAAUUACAAGAUGUGAUUUAAAAAGAUAGUAUCUUUAACAUUUUCAUCGCUUAAAAAAUGUAUAGAUGUUAUAUAUAGAUAUCCCCUAAUCAAUCAAGCAAAUAUUUUUUUGGCAGAAUGUUAUUGCAGGAGGUGGCGACACCACCAUGGUGACAUUGACCUGGGCAAUAUCGUUAUUGCUGAACAACCCUCACGUUAUGAAAAAAGCCCUAAAUGAACUAGACAUCAAAAUAGGCAGACAAAGAGUUGUGAGUGAGGAAGAUUUAAGCAACUUGGUCUACCUCCAAGCUAUUGUGAAGGAGACGUUACGUUUGUACCCAGUAGGACCAUUAGCAGGGCCACGUAUGUUCAAUGAAGAUUGCACCAUUGCUGGCUACCAUAUUCGAAAGGGCACCCGCUUCUUCCCAAACCUCUGGAAGAUCCAAAUUGACCCGAAAAAUUGGCCCGAGCCACUUGAGUUCAAGCCAGAGAGAUUUCUUACGACGCACAAGGACAUUGAUCUGAGGGGUCAACAUUUUGAGCUUAUUCCUUUUGGAAGUGGUAGAAGAUCAUGCCCUGGUUUGGCAUUUGGCCUUCAAAUGGUGCAAUUUACAUUGGCUAGUUUUCUACAUGCGUUUGAAAUCUCAAACCCAUCAAGUGCCCCAGUUGAUAUGACAGAGAGUUUUGGAAUGACCAACGUUAGGGCAGCUCCACUCAACGUUCUCAUCAAACCUCGCUUAUCUUCUGAACUCUAUGGAUAAAAGAAGGAAAUAUGAAAUAUUUUAUGUGUGUUAUGAAUAAGAGGUUUUCAUUGUUAUUAGUUUUAUAUGAUUAUGUGUAUAUCUCUAUAAUCAUAAAACCAAUCAAAACCUGCCAAUGUAAGAUACAAAACCCAGC
rnacentral:lncRNA from 1 species